GUCCUGAGUACAGUGGCGCACGGGUGAGUAACACGUGAAUCAUCUACCUUCGAGUGAGGAAUAACUGAGAGAAAUCUUAGCUAAUACCGCAUAAUACCUACGGGUCAAAGCAGCAAUGCGCUUGAAGAGGAGUUCGCGGCAGAUUAGUUAGUUGGCGGUGUAAUGGCUCACCAAGGCGACGAUCAGUAGCUGGUCUGAGAGGAUGAUCAGCACAUUGGGACUGAGACACGGCCAAACUCCUACGGGAGGCAGCAGUGGGGAAUAUUGGACAAUGGGCGCAAGCCUGAUCCAGCCAUGCCGCGUGAGUGAUGAAGGCCCUAGGGUUGUAAAGCUCUCUUUUGUGCGGGAAGAUAAUGACGGUACCGAAGAAUAAGCCCCGGUAACUACGUGCCAGAGCGGGUAAUACGUAGGGUGGCAAGCGUUAAUCGGAAUUACUGGGCGUAAAGCGUGCGCAGGCGGUUUAUUAAGUCAGCUGUGAAAUCCCCGGGUUAACCUGGGAAUGGCAAGUUGAGACUGGUAAGCUGGAGUGUGUCAA
rnacentral:rRNA from 1 species